UGGGGAAUUUUGGACAAUGGGCGAAAGCCUGAUCCAGCAAUGCCGCGUGUGUGAAGAAGGCCUUCGGGUUGUAAAGCACUUUUGUCCGGAAAGAAAUCCUUGGCUCUAAUACAGUCGGGGGAUGACGGUACCGGAAGAAUAAGCACCGGCUAACUACGUGCCAGCAGCCGCGGUAAUACGUAGGGUGCAAGCGUUAAUCGGAAUUACUGGGCGUAAAGCGUGCGCAGGCGGUUUGCUAAGACCGAUGUGAAAUCCCCGGGCUCAACCUGGGAACUGCAUUGGUGACUGGCAGGCUAGAGUAUGGCAGAGGGGGGUAGAAUUCCACGUGUAGCAGUGAAAUGCGUAGAGAUGUGGAGGAAUACCGAUGGCGAAGGCAGCCCCCUGGGCCAAUACUGACGCUCAUGCACGAAAGCGUGGGGAGCAAACAGGAUUAGAUACCCUGGUAGUCCACGCCCUAAACGAUGUCAACUAGUUGUUGGGGAUUCAUUUCCUUAGUAACGUAGCUAACGCGUGAAGUUGACCGCCUGGGGAGUACGGUCGCAAGAUUAAAACUCAAAUGAAUUGACGGGGUCAUAGCUGUUCCU
rnacentral:rRNA from 1 species